CAGGAUGAACGCUGGCGGCGUGCUUAACACAUGCAAGUCGAACGAACCUUCGGGUUAGUGGCGGACGGGUGAGUAACGCGUGGGAAUCUGCCCUCAGGAGGGGGAUAACGGUUGGAAACGACCGCUAAUACCCCAUAUGCCGAGAGGUGAAAUGAAUUUCGCCUGAGGAUGAGCCCGCGUCUGAUUAGCUAGUUGGUGGGGUAAUGGCCCACCAAGGCGACGAUCAGUAGCUGGUCUGAGAGGAUGAUCAGCCACACUGGGACUGAGACACGGCCCAGACUCCUACGGGAGGCAGCAGUGGGGAAUUUUCCGCAAUGGGCGAAAGCCUGACGGACAAACCCCCCGGAAGGAUGAAGGCCUCUGGGCUGUAAACCUCUUUUCUCAAGGAAGAAGACAUGACGGUACUUGAGGAAUAAGCCACGGCUAAUUCCGUGCCAGCAGCCGCGGUAAUACGGGAGUGGCAAGCGUUAUCCGGAAUUAUUGGGCGUAAAGCGUCCGCAGGCGGCCUUGUAAGUCUGUCGUUAAAGCGUGGAGCUUAACUCCAUUUCAGCGAUGGAAACUACAAGGCUUGAGUGUGGUAGGGGCAGAGGGAAUUCCCGGUGUAGCGGUGAAAUGCGUAGAUAUCGGGAAGAACACCAGUGGCGAAGGCGCUCUGCUGGGCCAUAACUGACGCUCAUGGACGAAAGCCAGGGGAGCGAAAGGGAUUAGAUACCCCUGUAGUCCUGGCCGUAAACGAUGAACACUAGGUGUCGGGGGAAUCGACCCCCUCGGUGUCGUAGCUAACGCGUUAAGUGUUCCGCCUGGGGAGUACGCACGCAAGUGUGAAACUCAAAGGAAUUGACGGGGGCCCGCACAAGCGGUGGAGUAUGUGGUUUAAUUCGAUGCAACGCGAAGAACCUUACCAGGGUUUGACAUCCUGCGAAUCCCUUGGAAACGAGGGAGUGCCUUCGGGAGCGCAGAGACAGGUGGUGCAUGGCUGUCGUCAGCUCGUGUCGUGAGAUGUUGGGUUAAGUCCCGCAACGAGCGCAACCCACGUCUUUAGUUGCCAGCAUUUAGUUGGGCACUCUAGAGAGACCGCCGGUGAUAAACCGGAGGAAGGUGUGGAUGACGUCAAGUCAUCAUGCCCCUUACAUCCUGGGCUACACACGUACUACAAUGCUACGGACAAAGGGUUGCAAGCUCGCGAGAGUUAGCUAAUCCCAUAAACCGUGGCUCAGUUCAGAUCGUAGGCUGCAACUCGCCUACGUGAAGGAGGAAUCGCUAGUAAUCGCAGGUCAGCAUACUGCGGUGAAUACGUUCCCGGGCCUUGUACACACCGCCCGUCACACCAUGGAAGUUGGCCAUGCCCGAAGUCGUUACUCCAACCCUUGUGGAGGAGGACGCCGAAGGUGGGGCUGAUGACUGGGGUGAAGUCGUAACAAGGUAGCCGUACCGGAAGG
rnacentral:rRNA from 1 species